rnacentral:piRNA from 1 species
AUACAUGUAGGAUACUGGUGGAAG